rnacentral:rRNA from 1 species
UACGUAGGGCGCAAGCGUUUAUCCGGAAUUAUUGGGCGUAAAGAGCUCGUAGGCGGUUUGUCGCGUCUGCCGUGAAAGUCCGGGGCUCAACUCCGGAUCUGCGGUGGGUACGGGGCAGACUAGAGUGAUGUAGGGGAGACUGGAAUUCCUGGUAUAGCGGUGAAAUGCGCAGAUAUCAGGAGGAACACCGAUGGCGAAGGCAGGUCUCUGGGCAUUAACUGACGCUGAGGAGCGAAAGCCAGGGGAGCAAACGGG